CACUCCGCAUGCAAAGUUUGUCCUCGGUGUUUGUCAGCACAUGGUCGCUGUGGGUGGAAGAGCCUGGCCACCCGUGCGUACAGAUCCUACCUCAGAUUGCCGUGUGAUGGCUACUUGUAGUGAACAGCAGCAGACAGAGGGCCUUCCCCCAAAGUUCCCCAUCACCUUGCAUGGUUCCUUUCCAUGGCCAUGGGCUCCUCUUCUCCACAGGGUUGACUCUCGUUUCUUUAAUGGCAUACCCUGAGAUGUCCUGGGGGAAGGCUGGCUGGAGAGACAGCACUCACCACAGAUUCCAUGUGCUGGGCUACACUUCCCCGCUUCCUCUGCAGCUAGAUUGGGGCCCCAUGGCUUGUUCUGCCCAAUGGGCUGAAACCAAGGCAAUCGCGGGUUGAUGUGCCUCCUUGUUUUGCCAUAGGGACUUUGGACGCCCCGUGUUCCAGACGGCAUGCCAAAAGGGGGAGGGUCUCGCAACUCACAGGGCACCUGAUAUGCGCAAGAAAUAAACUUCCUUCUCAAGAUUGCAAUUUCAGUCUUGUCACUGCCACAUGGCCUGGCCUGGCCCCGUGAAUGGUCAGAGCGUCAGAAUUAACGGAGUAAUUGCUAUUCUUGAGCUCUUUAAUGUGAGGAAGGAAGAAGCUGUCUCUGGAGCCACGCGGGGCAGCUGAUUGACGCUUUCCCUGACUGUCAUCAUCCAGCACAGAUGGCACUUCCUGUUUGGUAACACCUCACGUGGGCUUCUUCAUCCCCCACUGACUCUGCCAGUCACCAUCCUACACAGUCAAAUGUGCACAGUAUUAGAAGUUUGCCAAGAGCACAUCCUUGUGUCUGCCAAGGAGUGUCUGUUAGAGGAAGAGUAUUCUAGCAGACGAUGUUCAGAGGAGAAAUGGACCACCCCAGGAGGCAGCAAACCCCUUGUCUCUGAGUUUCCUCAUUUGAGAACGGGAAGAAAGAUACUGACCCACCUUGAAGAAUUUCCGUGAGGACCCAGUAAGAAGACGGGCUGAAAGCAUUUCGAAAACCCUACAAAGACCAAAGUUGUCAUUUCAAGAAGGAAUUCAUUCCGCGGCAGAUAAGUCGCCCAGUUUCGAAUCUUGCUUCUACCUGUCUCCAGCUGCGUGUCCAAGGACGAAAUGGAGUAUUUUCUUUUUUGAGAAUUUGUUUUCCAUCUUUAAAAUGGGAGCAAAAGGAAUAUCCACCUCUUAGCAUUUCUGCGAAGAUGGUGUGAAAUUGUGAGCAAGACCAUUCGUUCGCUGAGGAUUCCCUGUUUCUAUCAGCAACCAUGUAACCAUGCUGUGUUUGGACCAUGCGUGGACAAGGAUGCCUGUAACAUAUAUGGAUUUGUCUAGGCAGCGGGACUCUGACUUCAGAUAGGAGUGUGUGCCGUGGGCUAGGCUGCCGGCAGGUUCAGUCCAAGAGGCAGCCUGCCACAUGAGGAAUGUUUCUGCGUCAUUUCCAAAACAUCUGUGGAAGAUGUCGCUCCGGGCCACCAGUGCGAAAGACCAUGAGAAAACGGCCCGAGCCCUUGAGGAAAGGCGCUCUUUCAUGGUGCAUUGGGGUUUGUGAUGUCAGAGCACGAGAGUUGUGUGGUUCACUUUUUGCUUUGGCUUUCCAGAGACCUCGGGCGAAAUUAUACGCUCAGUUGAAAUAACUAUCGCCAUUAAUUAAGAUUCUUUGGGUUACAAGUGGCAGAAACCCAGCCCAGACACCUUCAAAUAAAAAGAUAAUUUAUCAGGUUAAGUAAGUGCAGAUGGCUUCAGAGAUGGCUGGGUUCAAGGGCUUCAUGUUACCAGGGCUCCCUUGUAGAUAGGCUUUUCUACAAGGCAGUCCCAUACCUUAAACUGCCCGCAAAAGCACAUCCUACAAGGUUAGCAACGCCAGCAGAAAGAAUCUUUUCCACCAGCCUUGUUGGCAAAUCCUGCUUGGCAGAUAGGCUCGUUUUUGAACUAAUAGAGGGGCCAGAGACUUGGGGGUACUCUGACUGGUUAAAUCUGGGCCAUGGUGACCCUCCCUGUAGGUGGGAAGGGGGCCCAACUUAGCACCACCCUAAGCACAUGGAAUAUAUUCCCUAUUGGAAAUAUGGGGUGAGGGAAACUAGGCCAGUAGACGUCUACUUUAGCCUGGGAUUCUGGCAUAGCUUUCUGUU